rnacentral:rRNA from 1 species
GAUACGAGUUUGAUCAUGGCUCAGGAUGAACGCUAGCGGCAGGCCUAAUACAUGCAAGUCAAGGGGAUAGCAAUAUCACCGGCGGACGGGUGCGUAACGCGUACACAACGUGCCCAAGGGCGGAGGAAAGCGGCGGGAAACUGCCGGUAAUACUCCAUGGUGUUGUUGAGUGGCAUCACUUAACAACUAAAGUACAAGCGCCCUUGGAUCGGUGUGCGUUCGAUUAGCUAGUUGGCGGGGUAACGGCCCACCAAGGCUUCGAUCGAUAGGGGGUGUGAGAGCAUGACCCCCCACACGGGUACUGAGACACGGACCCGACUCCUACGGGAGGCAGCAGUAAGGAAUAUUGGACAAUGGGCGGAAGCCUGAUCCAGCCAUGCCGCGUGAAGGACGAAGGCGCUCAGCGUUGUAAACUUCUUUUGGAUGGGAACAAUAACUCCGACUUGUCGGAACUUGAGGGUACCAUCAGAAUAAGCACCGGCUAACUCCGUG